rnacentral:lncRNA from 1 species
AAUUCUUGUCGGACUCUAUUUUUACGCACAAUAAAUAAAGAAAUAAGACCAGAUUCUUUAGCAGAAUGGAAGUUCGACCCUUGAUAUCAGUUGGUGGAUGUUUCCUGAUUUGUCUGGCAAUCGGUACACCACUAACGUUUUGAAACCUCACUCCUUACUUAACUUCUUACCUGAGGCAAAGAGGCAGGAAGGACACAACGUAUGAAGAAACUAGCUGGAUAUUCUAUGCAUUUAUCUCUACAUGUUCACUGCUUUAUUUUGGUGGCAAACUAGGUUGUCUCAUUGGACGUCGUUGGAGCAUGAUUAUUGGUUCUUGUAUUUUUAGUUUUGGCAUAGCAGUGACGCACUGGAGUAUACAACACAGCCUGGCAGCUACCAUAAUCACUUACGGAGUGGUUGAUAUCUUAGGUUAUGUCUGUUGCUAUGGUCACCCCCUAGUCACAACUAUAGAGG